AAAAGCUCAAAUUUUAAAGCUGGCACCUUCGGUGUCCGCGUUGUAAUUUUGUGAGGCAUCUCCGGGCAGGGCGCCGGCCUAAGUUCCUUGGAACAGGACGUCACAGAGGGUGAGAAUCCCGUGCUUGGCUGGCUGUCCCCGUCCACGUGAGGUGUCUUCGACGAGUCGAGUUGUUUGGGAAUGCAGCUCAAAAUGGGUGGUAAAUUUCAUCUAAAGCUAAAUAUUGGUGGGAGACCGAUAGCGCACAAGUAGAGUGAUCGAAAGAUGAAAAGCACUUUGAAAAUAGAGUUAAAAAGUACGUGAAAUUGUUGAAAGGGAAGCGCUUGAGACCAGACUUCGGUAGGGGGUGAUCAGCCGUCCUUCUGGGCGGUGCACUUGCCCCCCUCCGGGCCAGCAUCGGUUGGGGCGGCGGGAUAAAGGUCCCGGGAACGUGGCUCCUCUCGGGGAGUGUUAUAGCCCGGGUGAAUGCCGCCAGCCUCGACCGAGGACCG
rnacentral:rRNA from 1 species